GAAAGACCCCGUGAACCUUUACUAUAGCUUGACACUGAACAUUGAGCCUUGAUGUGUAGGAUAGGUGGGAGGCUUUGAAGCGUGGACGCCAGUCUGCGUGGAGCCAACCUUGAAAUACCACCCUUUAAUGUUUGAUGUUCUAACGUUGGCCCCUGACCGGGGUUGCGGACAGUGUCUGGUGGGUAGUUUGACUGGGGCGGUCUCCUCCCAAAGCGUAACGGAGGAGCACGAAGGUUAGCUAAUCCUGGUCGGACAUCAGGAGGUUAGUGCAAUGGCAUAAGCUAGCUUGACUGCGAGCGUGACGGCGCG
rnacentral:rRNA from 1 species